rnacentral:rRNA from 1 species
GUGCCAGCAGCCGCGGUAAUACCGGUGGCUCGAGUGGUGGCCGCUAUUAUUGGGUCUAAAGGGUCCGUAGCCGGCCUGAUAAGUUACCUGGGAAAUCCGGUGGCCUAACCAUCGGGCGGCCAGGUAAUACUAUCAGGCUCGGGACUAGGAGAGACCAGAGGUACUCAUGAGGUAGGAGUGAAAUCCUGUAAUCUUAUGAGGACCACCAGUGGUGAAGACGUCUGGUUAGAAUAGGUCCGACGGUGAGGGACGAAGGCUGGGGGCGCAAACCGGAUUAGAUACCCGGGUAGUCCCAGCAGUAAACGAUGCCAGCUAUGUGUUGCUGGAACCAUGGGUUCCAGCAGUGCCGAAGGGAAGCCGUGAAGCUGGCCACCUGGGAAGUACGGUCGCAAGGCUGAAACUUAAAGGAAUUGGCGGGGGAGUACCACAACCGGUGGAGCCUGCGGUUUAAUUGGAUACAACGCCGGGAAUCUUACCGGAGGGGACAGCAGUAUGAAGGCCAGGCUAAAGACCUUGCCAGAUCAGCUGAGAGGAGGUGCAUGGCCGUCGCCAGUUCGUACCGUGAGGCAUCCUGUUUAGUCAGGCAACGAUCGAGACCCGCAGUCUUAUUUGCCAAGCAUGCCCUUUGGGGUGUAUGGGUACAAUAAAGACGAACCGCCAGCGCUAAGCUGGAGGAAGGAGCGGGCUACGGU